rnacentral:lncRNA from 1 species
ACUGGAAAUAGAGUGGGGUGAGAACUAUCUUCCAUAGUUCCCAGUGGGCUCGGCCGCCGACUCUGCCGAUCUCCCCACUAGGUCCAAGUGGGCACAAGCAACAACAGAUAGAUAGAUAGAUAGAUAUCUGAAAGCUGUAAAUGCGAUAGUAGGAACAACUAUGCUACUAUGCCCAAAAUCAUGAAUAUGAAUGUAUGCAUCAUAUAAUAAAGGUUUGCUACCAUGCUAACAAAUUCGAUCCAUGUUCGAAUAGUAAUGUUCAAUGACAUUUUUAAACCUUUAUCUUUCCAUUUACCAAAUCUGUGGCGAGGCCCUGGGGCUCGUCAAUGACUCACCUUUCAAUCCCAAAGUGGGGAGGGAGCUCCAAGUGCACCCAAGCCCGGGACCGUCUGCGGACCUCCAUGUGGUCCGGACCUCCAAGUGGUCCUAAUCGCACGACACUUCGGAGUACUCGACGAUAAUCCCCUCCAUGUGGGGAUAGGAUGGCUAUACCACCCCAAAGCAGACUGUGAGCUAGAUCUAUCCUCUCCAAGUGAGGAUACACUACACUAGGAUCAACAACCCAAUCAAAUCCUGUCCAAGUGAGGAUGCUCUACAACUAGAGUCAACAUCUCUCGCGGAAUCAUCUGUUCCCGACAUUCAUGCAAUGCUAUUUAGCUUUCUAAAUUCAUUAUUCACAAGGCAUUUUCUAAGGGAUCCACCUAUCCCUAGGUUCUCAAACCUCUAGUGUUAUUUACACUACAUUAAUGCCACUCGUCAACAUUUAACGUUUGGAUGCCACUCAUGUGUUCCUUGACACUAACCACUACUUUCUAUGUCAUCAACACCCCCAUCGGGUUCAUCUCUUUUCUUUCGCAUCAUAGGAUCCACGUUCCGACCCAAUCCUCACCUAUCUAAG